GACGAACGCUGGCGGCGUGCUUAACACAUGCAAGUCGAACGGAAAGGCCCUGCUUUUGUGGGGUGCUCGAGUGGCGAACGGGUGAGUAACACGUGAGUAACCUGCCCUUGACUUUGGGAUAACUUCAGGAAACUGGGGCUAAUACCGGAUAGGAGCUCCUGCUGCAUGGUGGGGGUUGGAAAGUUUCGGCGGUUGGGGAUGGACUCGCGGGUUAUCAGCUUGUUGGUGGGGUAGUGGGUUACCAAGGCUUUGACGGGUAGCCGGCCUGGGAGGGGGAACGGGCCCAAUGGGGCCAGGGGAAGGACCAGGCGCCCAACGGGGGGAAUGGGGGGGAACUUUGCACAAAGGGGCGGAGGCCGGAGGGAGCACCCCGGGGGGGGGAAGGCCGGCCUUGGGGUUGAAACCGCCUUUCGCUUGUGACGAGGCGUAGUGAAGGGAAAUGGGUAAAAAGCCACGGCUAAACACGGG
rnacentral:rRNA from 1 species